rnacentral:rRNA from 1 species
CGCGUAGGCGGUACUAUAAGUCAGAUGUGAAAGCCCUGGGCUUAACCUAGGAGGUGCAUUUGAUACUGUAGAACUAGAGAUCGAGAGAGGAAAGUGGAAUAACGAGUGUAGAGGUGAAAUUCGUAGAUAUUCGUUAGAACACCAGUGGCGAAGGCGACUUUCUGGCUCGAUACUGACGCUAAGGCGCGAAAGCGUGGGGAGCAAACAGGAUUAGAUACCCUGGUAGUCCACGCUGUAAACGAUGAGUGCUAGAUGUUGGUGGAGGAAUUCAUCAGUGUCGCAGCUAACGCAUUAAGCACUCCGCCUGGGGAGUACGGUCGCAAGAUUAAA